CUCCGUAGGUGAACCUGCGGAGGGAUCAUUACACAAAUAUGAAGGCGGGCUGGAACCUCUCGGGGUUACAGCCUUGCUGAAUUAUUCACCCUUGUCUUUUGCGUACUUCUUGUUUCCUUGGUGGGUUCGCCCACCACUAGGACAAACAUAAACCUUUUGUAAUUGCAAUCAGCGUCAGUAACAAAUUAAUAAUUACAACUUUCAACAACGGAUCUCUUGGUUCUGGCAUCGAUGAAGAACGCAGCGAAAUGCGAUAAGUAGUGUGAAUUGCAGAAUUCAGCGAAUCAUCGAAUCUUUGAACGCACAUUGCGCCCUUUGGUAUUCCAAAGGGCAUGCCUGUUCGAGCGUCAUUUGUACCCUCAAGCUUUGCUUGGUGUUGGGCGUCUUGUCUCUAGCUUUGCUGGAGACUCGCCUUAAAGUAAUUGGCAGCCGGCCUACUGGUUUCGGAGCGCAGCACAAGUCGCACUCUCUAUCAGCAAAGGUCUAGCAUCCAUUAAGCCUUUUUUUCAACUUUUGACCUCGGAUCAGGUAGGGAUACCCGCUGAACUUAAGCAUAUCA
rnacentral:rRNA from 1 species